rnacentral:tRNA from 1 species
UAGUUCAGUCGGUUAGAAUACCGGCCUGUCACGCCGGGGGUCGCGGGUUCGAGUCCCG